rnacentral:lncRNA from 1 species
UUUUUACCCUCAUGUAUAUUGCAUUUUCUUUGGAUAGUCUCAUGGAUUCUCAAGGAUAUUGUAUUCCUGUAUUUUACCAUUCAUGAGUUUAGAAGUGUGUUUACUUUCCUGAGUUUUCAUUUUCUUUUUCUUCUGUCAUAUGUAAUUUACAGAGCAAAUACCUACCAGAACGGAUAACUUGAGAGAUGUGGAAAGUCCAGAUUUUGGAUGAAUCUCUAUAAUGGAGAUUGAACAGUGUCACUGGCGUGGGGGUUACCUUCCCACUAUGUCCCCCAGAAGACAUGAGGCCACAGACUGCAGUGCCCGUGGACAGAGGAGCUGUGGGGAUGGAAGUGUGAUUGCUUCAUUCAAAUGCACGCCCCGGUGCGUGUGCGUCUCUUCUGAUGCAGCGCCCCAUGGAUACCCCAUCAGCCUGAGUCUCUUAAAGGCCUUUAUACACACAUGUCUACACAUAGGGAUUUGGAUUAUCUCGGGAUCCCACAUCCUCGCUGUCCCCUGUCCCCCCGCAACAUCCCCCACCAAUACCUUUCUGAAGUUUUCUAGUCCCUCCUUUUUGUUUGUGCUCCUUAAAGCCCAGCCCCAUGCCUGACUUUGGUUCCCAGUGAGCAUUGUACAUUUGUGGAUAUUAAAUCUUUGGCAAAGUCAU